rnacentral:rRNA from 1 species
AUUGAACGCUGGCGGCAUGCCUUACACAUGCAAGUCGAACGGCAGCACGGGUGCUUGCACCUGGUGGCGAGUGGCGAACGGGUGAGUAAUACAUCGGAACAUGUCCUGUAGUGGGGGAUAGCCCGGCGAAAGCCGGAUUAAUACCGCAUACGAUCUACGGAUGAAAGCGGGGGACCUUCGGGCCUCGCGCUAUAGGGUUGGCCGAUGGCUGAUUAGCUAGUUGGUGGGGUGAAGGCCUACCAAGGCGACGAUCAGUAGCUGGUCUGAGAGGACGACCAGCCACACUGGGACUGAGACACGGCCCAGACUCCUACGGGAGGCAGCAGUGGGGAAUUUUGGACAAUGGGCGAAAGCCUGAUCCAGCAAUGCCGCGUGUGUGAAGAAGGCCUUCGGGUUGUAAAGCACUUUUGUCCGGAAAGAAAUCCUUGGCCCUAAUACGGUCGGGGGAUGACGGUACCGGAAGAAUAAGCACCGGCUAACUACGU